UACGGGGGGGGCAAGCGUUGUUCGGAAUUACUGGGCGUAAAGGGCUCGUAGGCGGCCAACUAAGUCAGACGUGAAAUCCCUCGGCUUAACCGGGGAACUGCGUCUGAUACUGGAUGGCUUGAGGUUGGGAGAGGGAUGCGGAAUUCCAGGUGUAGCGGUGAAAUGCGUAGAUAUCUGGAGGAACACCGGUGGCGAAGGCGGUUCUCUGGGCCUGACCUGACGCUGAGGAGCGAAAGCGUGGGGAGCGAACAGG
rnacentral:rRNA from 1 species